AGAGUUUGAUCCUGGCUCAGGAUGAACGCUGGCGGCGUGCUUAACACAUGCAAGUCGAACGGUGAAAGCGGAGCUUGCUCUGCUGGAUCAGUGGCGAACGGGUGAGUAACACGUGAGCAAUCUGCCCCUGACUCUGGGAUAAGCGCUGGAAACGGCGUCUAAUACUGGAUACGAACUGCGAAGGCAUCUUCAGCAGUUGGAAAGAAUUUCGGUCAGGGAUGAGCUCGCGGCCUAUCAGCUUGUUGGUGAGGUAACGGCUCACCAAGGCGUCGACGGGUAGCCGGCCUGAGAGGGUGACCGGCCACACUGGGACUGAGACACGGCCCAGACUCCUACGGGAGGCAGCAGUGGGGAAUAUUGCACAAUGGGCGCAAGCCUGAUGCAGCAACGCCGCGUGAGGGACGACGGCCUUCGGGUUGUAAACCUCUUUUAGCAGGGAAGAAGCGAAAGUGACGGUACCUGCAGAAAAAGCGCCGGCUAACUACGUGCCAGCAGCCGCGGUAAUACGUAGGGCGCAAGCGUUAUCCGGAAUUAUUGGGCGUAAAGAGCUCGUAGGCGGUUUGUCGCGUCUGCUGUGAAAACCCGAGGCUCAACCUCGGGCCUGCAGUGGGUACGGGCAGACUAGAGUGCGGUAGGGGAGAUUGGAAUUCCUGGUGUAGCGGUGGAAUGCGCAGAUAUCAGGAGGAACACCGAUGGCGAAGCAGAUCUCUGGGCCGUAACUGACGCUGAGGAGCGAAAGGGUGGGGAGCAAACAGGCUUAGAUACCCUGGUAGUCCACCCGUAAACGUUGGGAACUAGUUGUGGGGUCCAUUCCACGGAUUCCGUGACGCAGCUAACGCAUUAAGUUCCCCGCCUGGGGAGCACGGCCGCAAGGCUAAAACUCAAAGGAAUUGACGGGGACCCGCACAAGCGGCGGAGCAUGCGGAUUAAUUCGAUGCAACGCGAAGAACCUUACCAAGGCUUGACAUAUACGAGAACGGGCCAGAAAUGGUCAACUCUUUGGACACUCGUAAACAGGUGGUGCAUGGUUGUCGUCAGCUCGUGUCGUGAGAUGUUGGGUUAAGUCCCGCAACGAGCGCAACCCUCGUUCUAUGUUGCCAGCACGUAAUGGUGGGAACUCAUGGGAUACUGCCGGGGUCAACUCGGAGGAAGGUGGGGAUGACGUCAAAUCAUCAUGCCCCUUAUGUCUUGGGCUUCACGCAUGCUACAAUGGCCGGUACAAAGGGCUGCAAUACCGUAAGGUGGAGCGAAUCCCAAAAAGCCGGUCCCAGUUCGGAUUGAGGUCUGCAACUCGACCUCAUGAAGUCGGAGUCGCUAGUAAUCGCAGAUCAGCAACGCUGCGGUGAAUACGUUCCCGGGUCUUGUACACACCGCCCGUCAAGUCAUGAAAGUCGGUAACACCUGAAGCCGGUGGCCUAACCCUUGUGGAGGGAGCCGUCGAAGGUGGGAUCGGUAAUUAGGACUAAGUCGUAACAAGGUAACCGUA
rnacentral:rRNA from 1 species